rnacentral:tRNA from 2 species
GCCUUGAAAGCUCAACAAAUAGAGCGUUUGGUCUUGUAAACCAGGAGAGAGGGUUAAACUCCCUCUCAAGGCU